UCUCAUCAGGGGUGUGUGUGUGUGUGUGUGUGUGUGUGUGUGUGUGUGCGCGCGUGAGAGACCAUCUAGUUCUCCUUGCGCCAAAGGCUUUUCAGGCUGCUGGGGAGGGCGGGAGGCAGCAGCCGCUGCAUGUCUCCGUGGCAGCUGAACUUGGUCCUGCGCUGGUGCCGGGCUGCCCCGGGGAGAGGCCCUCGCUCUCGCUCCUGUGCCUGGGCAGCACCUGCGCAGAGCAAUUGCAGAGGCGAGCUGCAAAGCCCCAAGGGCUGGGGCUGCUCCUUGCGCUGCUGGCACAACGAGAGGUGAGGGGAGGAUCUUUUCCUUCUUUCCCAGGAGCGAAAGAAGCAGCAGAGAGACAGAGACCAGUGGCUAGCAAUGGCCCUCUAUGAGGCUGCUCGGCACCCUCCUAAGUGCCGGUGUUUCAUUUUCACAUGUGCCUAGAAGCAAGUGGAAGCCAAGAGACACAGUGGUCUGCUUGUUGGCGAGGCAUCGGACACAUGCAGUGGUUUGCUUGUUUGCCCAGCAGCGAACCGAUUAGGCAGUCUCCUUGUUUCUGAGACAGCGAACAUCCACAGUGGUCACUCAUUCUGCGAGGCAGACAAGAGACGCAGCGGUUUGCUUGUUUGCCAGGCUGGGAACAGAUGCAGUGGUCUGCUUGUUGGCCAGGCAGAGAAGAGACGCAGCGGUUUGCUUGUUCGCCAGGCAGCGAAGAGACGCAGUGGUUUGCUUGUUCGCCAGGCAGCAAACAGAGGCAGUGGUUUGCUUGUUUGCCAGGCAGUGAACAGAUUAGGCAGUCUCCUUGUUUGUGAGACAGCGAACAUCCACAGUGGUCACUCAUUCUGCGAGGCAGCGAAGAGACACAGCGGUCUGCUUGUUCGCCAGGGAGCGAACAGCUUAGGCAGUCUCCUUGUUUGUGAGACAGCGAACAUCCACAGUGGUCACUCAUUUGGCGAGGCAGCGAAGCGACACAGCGGUCUGCUUGUUCGACAGGCAGCGAAGAGAUUCAGCAGUCUCCUUGUUUGUGAGACAGUGAACAUCCACAGUAGUUCCUCAUUCUGCGAGGCAACGAAGAGAUGCAACGGUUUGCUUGCUAACCAGGCAGCGAAGAGACGCAGCGGUCUGCUUGUUCGCCAGGCAGCGAACAGAUUAGGCAGUCUCCUUGUUUGUGAGACAGCGAACAUCUACAGUGGUUCCUCAUUCUGCGAGGCAGCGAACAGACGCAGCAGUCUGCUGCUUUGUGAGACAGCGAACAUCCAUGGUGGCUGGUUAUUCUGCGAGGCAGCGAAGAGACACAGCACUUAGUUCUCCAGGCACUCAACACAUGCAAUGGUUUACUUCUUCACAAUGCAGCGAGGAGACGCAGCGUUUUGCUUCUUCGCCAGGCAGUGGACAGAUUAGGCAGUCUCCUUGUUUGUAAGACAGCGAACAUCCACAGUGGUUCCUCAUUCGGCGAGGCAACGAAGAGACGAAGCAGUUUGCUUGUUCGCCAGGCAGUGAAUAGAUUAGACGGUCUCCUUCUUUGUGAGACAGCGAACAUCCGCUGCGUCUCUUCGUUGCCUCGCAGAAUGAGGAACCACUGUGGAUGUCCGCUAUCUAUCAAAGAAGGAGACUGCCUAAUCUCUUCGCUGCCUGUCGAAGAAUCAAACCGCUUCGUCUCUUUGCCGCCUCGCAGACAAGCAAGCCCUUGUGUCUCUUUGCCACCUCGUGCACUAACUAACCGCUGCAUCUCUUUGAUGCCUGCCAAAAGAAGGAAGUGCUGCAUCUCUUCCCGCCUCGCCAACACGCAGUCCGCUGCCCCUAUUGGAGGCGUUGCAAACAAGCAGUGGGCAGAAUCUCUUCACCACUUCGCCAACAAGCGGACUGCAGAGUCGCUUCGCCGCCUGGCCAACAAGCACACCGCUGCAUGUCUUCGCUGCCUUGCCAGCUAGCAAAGUGCUGCCUCGCUUCGCUUCCAGGUGAAAAAGCAAUCCG
rnacentral:lncRNA from 1 species